rnacentral:rRNA from 1 species
GCCUGCCCAGUGAAUAAUUAAACGGCCGCGGUAUCCUAACCGUGCAAAGGUAGCAUAAUCAUUUGUCUACUAAUUAUAGACCUGUAUGAAAGACAAAAUGAGGGUCUAACUGUCUCUUAUAAUUAAUCAAUUAAACUGAUCUCCUAGUAAAAAAGCUAGAAUUCCCACAUAAGACCAGAAGACCCUGUGAAGCUUGAACUAAACUAUUAAAUCAUAUAAUAACUACUUUCGGUUGGGGCGACCUUGGAAAAAAAAAGAACUUCCAAAUAUAGUGAUAAUACCUCACACCUCUUUAACCUAGGCCAACAAGCCAAAAUCAGAUCCAGCAUAGCUGAUAAUUGAACUAAGUUACUCCAGGGAUAACAGCGCAAUCUUCUUCAAGAGCCCAUAUCAAAAAGAAGGUUUACGACCUCGAUGUUGGAUCAGGACAUCCUAAUGGUGCAGCCGCUAUUAAGGGUUCGUUUGUUCAACGAUUAAUAGUCCUACGUGAUCUGAG